rnacentral:rRNA from 1 species
CAGCAGCCGCGGUAACACGUAGGUGGCGAGCGUUGUCCGGAAUUAUUGGGCGUAAAGGGAGCGCAGGCGGACAUAUAAGUCCAUCCUAAAAGUGCGGGGCUCAACCCCGUGAGGGGAUGGAAACUGUAUGCCUUGAGUGCAGGAGAGGAAAGCGGAAUUCCCAGUGUAGCGGUGAAAUGCGUAGAUAUUGGGAGGAACACCAGUGGCGAAGGCGGCUUUCUGGACGACAACUGACGUUGAGGCUCGAAGGCGUGGGUAGCAAACAGGAUUAGAUACCCCCGUAGUCCCUGUCUCUUAUACC